UGGCAGUUGCAGUUAGAUGUCAGUUGUAAGAUACGGCCAGCAUCCAGAGUGUGUAUAUAUAUAGCGGACUAAGCUCCUGAGCCGGCCCUAUAUUCAAUGGCUGCAGAGUGGCGUAAAAAGGCAUAUGUGUACCGACGGAAGUACGACACAGCUGUUACCCCCAAGCUGAGGUCCUCAGCAACUCUGCCAUGAUACCUGCCUGACACCUCACUCCUGUUUUUCGUAGUCACGAGAAAUAAAGAUGUGAAGCUACAACCUGGAAUUCUACCGGAGAAAAAUACCACCAUUUAAGCGGAAAAAAACCGCCAUAGGCUCAACAUGCUGCGACUUUGCAAAACUGACAAGAAGUUAAAA